CUGAUCAUGCGCUGUGCAUGUGAACUCAGAUAUCCCACACUGCCUAUGUCCCUGAACGCCUCAAAGACGUGUAGAUCAGCGUGGAGACAUCAGAUGAAUGUUUCUGCAGUGUGUGCGUCCAUAAAACCUAAACCACACACACACACCUAUAGAUAAACAGACUGAACUUUAUAUCUGGACUCCGCCUUUUAUUUCUACACACUCAUCUGAACAUUAAAGGAGUGUCCUGACCCGACACCCUGAAGCGAUUGCUGCCACCCAAGAUCCAUACACGCUGUCUGUCAUACAGAGGCAGCGAAUUCAAAGUGUGCCUCUCUUGAGAAGACCAAACAGAGGCUUCACAGUGAGGUGGAGGACCUCAUGAUUGAUGUGGAGAGGGCCAAUGGGCUGGCUGCCAACCUGGACAAGAAGCAGAGGAACUUUGACAAGGUGUUGGCUGAGUGGAAACAGAAGUACGAGGAGGGUCAGGCAGAACUUGAGGGAGCAUAGAAGGAGGCUUGUUCUCUCAGCACUGAGCUGUUCAAGAUGAAGAACUCUUUUGAGGAAACUCUGAAUCAGCUGGAGACCAUGAAGCGUGAAAACAAGAACC